CUAUACUCUCUCUGCUCAGUCUGCUCCUGUCCUCUGCUGUGCGUUCUCAUUUGAUGGACAGCUGCUGGUCUCUGGGUCUGUCGAUAAAACAGUGACCGAAUAUGAUGCGAAUCAUGGAGAACUUCUACACACUCUGACGCAGCAUGACAGGCGAGUCUCUGAAUCUCUCCGUAUGAAUCAAUCCAGAGUCUCAGCUGACCACCUUCACACUGCAGAUUAAUACAGAAUUCUGAAACAGAGUUCCGUUCUAUUCGAAACUGAAAUGAGAAUACCUUUUCUAUUCCAAUUCAAUUCCUCUAUAGUUCCAUAAUAGUUCCAAACGAAGC